rnacentral:rRNA from 1 species
UACGGAGGGGACUAGCGUUGUUCGGAAUUACUGGGCGUAAAGCGCACGUAGGCGGAUUUGUAAGUCAGGGGUGAAAUCCCGGGGCUCAACCUCGGAACUGCCUUUGAUACUGCAAAUCUUGAGUCCGGAAGAGGUGAGUGGAAUUCCUAGUGUAGAGGUGAAAUUCGUAGAUAUUAGGAAGAACACCCGUGGCGAAGGCGGCUCUCUGGGACGGUACUGACGCUGAGACGCGAAAGCGUGGGGAGCGAACAGG